rnacentral:lncRNA from 1 species
UUCCUUCACAGCCUGUCAAACCUAAAUUAUUACCUCAACAACAUGAUUAAUAUUCCAGUUUUUAUAUAAAAAAUUGUUCACCUGGUUGCUUUGUUGAUGUUUCAAACCUAAAGAAUAUGAACUGCCAAGUGUCUUCAUGCUGUCUAUGACCUAUCUCCAAAUUCUUCAGUACUUGGAUUCAUCCGUCCUUUUAUUUUUAUUUUUUCCAACCAUGAUUCAAGGAAAACCAUAAAGAUAUUAAUCAUCCACUUGUGUUAUAUUAGUAUUGGUUUAAUAGUAUUAAACUUUAUGGAUAAAAAUGUUGGCAUGAGUGAAGAACAUGUUCAAUGAACUUCUUCAAACAAAGCUGCAAUUUUGCUACUUCUUACAACAGGUGAUCUUUUACAUCAACUUUAAAGCAUAUAUAUCUUUUCCUAAUCAUAAUUCAUAACCCUUUUUUUCUUUUCUUGAGUACUCUUUUUUCUUCACUCAAAUAACAUGAAGGUGUUGAAGUUCUUAGAUUUAAUGCUUCUUGAGUACUUCAUUAACUGAGAAAGUUGAUGCAUAAUUUUUUUUCAAGAAUAGCAUAAAAAGAAAUUUUUUUCUUACAUGGACAUGUCUUUAACAUUUAAAUUUAAACUAUGAAGCACGGACACUCAUCAGAUUGGGCGUGUCCCGGUGUCGGAUAUGUGUCGUGUCUGGUGUCCGUGUUUGUAUCCGUGCUUCAUAGAGCUUAAGUGUAUAUAUAUGUGAAGGGUGUAAUCUUUUAAUUUAUUUUUUUGAAUCUUCAUUUGAGCUUCAAUAUGUAUGUAUAAAGUUUUGCUGUUAUUGCUCUUGGAAAAGAAAAAUAAACAACUUUUUUCUUUUCACUUGAGACAUGCUUUAUGAGAAACAAACACAAUACUUUUCUGUGCACAGUUUCUAGUAAUAGUGGAUGAAGACCACAGUAAUGGUCCUAGUUUUGUGACAGACACACAUAAAUGCCUGCAUAUAAUGUUCAUUCAUCAUCAAAGUUUCUGGAAAUGUUUUGUUUACACUUUUGAACUUUUUUUAAGAAAAUUCUCUCUGACUAGUUCUUCUUCUAUUUUUGGUUUAGUAAAGUUUCCUCUGUUUUGACAAAUUUACUCAAACAAGAAACUAGUACUGUUUCUAUUUUAUUUUUUGAAAAGGCUAAAAUGUUAGUACAGUUGCUAUAUAUGGCUUGAAUCUAUGCAUACAAAAAGGCAGCAACAAAAUCUUGCAAGAUAAUAUUUUCAGAUCAUGGUUUGAAUUUCUAUUGUUGGUGUCAAAAUAUUCUUAGAAUAAGGUUUCCAUUAAUAUUUAGUGUUUGGAUAUUUAGAUCCACUUUUCAAAUUAUUUCUUCACAAAAUUAAAUAAUAUUAAUUCUCUUAAGCACAAACAGAAAGGGGAUUUAUUUUUGCAAUUGUUGUUUCCUAUUAGACUUGUUAGUCUCUAAAAUCAGUUAUAAACAAUUUACAAUUGUGUUAUGUAGCACUGACACUUCAGAUGGAAGACGUAUAUAGUGACUGACACGUAUUGGUGUCGGACACCAACAUAUGUACUUAUAUUCCAUCCUUUUAUUUUCUCAAAUUAUUACCGGUGCCGACAUAUCAAUAUGAGUAUCGUGUCUGAUAUUCAUGGCUUUGAAUGACUAACUUAAUAACAAUUGUAAACUGUUUCUUAACUGAUUUAACUAACUAACUAACAAAUCUAAUAAUGUCUGUUACAUUACAUUUACUAGGUCUAAAAUUUAAAGUCUUAUGAUCUCCUACACUUCAAUCUGAUUGAAGUCGUGUCUGGUGUUUGAGACUGACAUGACAUCGACAUAUGUUGCUACAUUCAAUUGUCGAAGUGUCAAUGUCUAGUUCAGUGUCUGUGCUUCAUAGUUUAUGAUCGUUAGAAACAAGCUUGUAAGUUUUUUAUUUUUUUGGAAACUCAUUAUUUGGUCCAAACUUAUAAGUAUCGAUUUACAUUUCAGGAAUGGGAACAAAAAUUGAAUAUUCCAUAAAUCCUCUAGCAUACUCAAAAGAUUGCAACAACUUCACUGUGGUUGGUGUUGAUGCCUGGGAGCAUUAUCAGAACAAAGGAUUGAAAGUGAGUAACAAACAUUGCAGUAUUGGAGUUAAUAACUUGCAAAAUCCAAUGGAUAGAAUACUUGACAGAAACAACAUGGAAUCCAUUAGAAAGACAAUGCAGAUACAAGAGGACAUCUUCAAAAACCAGGUAUCAUAUCAAUGUAGUAAGUAUGCUUUAUCAUGCAAAAUUCAAGUUUCCAUUCAAUUUGUACCAUAAGGUUGCAUAGCAUGAUAUGUAACAUUACUUGUGUCAAUUUUAUUAGAACCUAUUGUCAUUUACCAACUAUGAAGCACGAACACUCUUCGAAUUAGGCGUGUCCCUGUGUCGGACACAAUACGCCUACACGACACUGUCACAUAUAAUUACACUGAAUUAUGUAAUUUUCUCAAAAUUUUAGCUGUAUCGGCGUGUCAGUGUCUGGUGUCAGUGCCCGUAUCCGUGCUUCAUAGUUUACCAAGUAUGUUUUUGUUUGAUGCAUGAUAUGCAAUUAAUUGAAGUUGUGAUUAGUUUGAAAAAUUAUUAAUUAGUAUUUGAACAUUUGUAGGUAAAGGAACUACAUAGAGUAUACAAUGUGCAAAAAAUGCUAAUGGAUGAACACAAAAAUGAAGGCAAUCAAAAUAAAUUUUGGACCCCUAUGAAUGGUAUAAACCAACCUUAUUUUGUUCAACAACAAAAACCAACACAAAUUUCAUUUAGCCAUGUCCAAAUUUUGAAAGAGGAAUUAUACAUAAAGGAAAGAAGUGGAAGUUGUUC